GGUGUUAUAGUAUAGUGGUCAUUAUAAUUCGUUGUGGUUUCAUUCACUACGAAGCUCCGAAUAGACCCAGGUUCGAUUCCUGGUAACGCCA